rnacentral:lncRNA from 1 species
UCACCGGUUUACUUUAAAAUCCUGGGAGGUGAGGACACGCUCAGAAGGACAGAAAUUGGAGUCAUAACUCAAGGUUCAGCCUCCAACGGAAGAGACCAGGAACUUGGUGUCUGAAUUUUGGGGAAGCACAAGCAUUCAGACCACAGCACCACUCUUCCAAGGAUGUCAGUCCAUGUAACCCUUAUCAACUUCUAUAUGUCCUUUAUAUUCCCCUCAAAAAGCAACUCUCUUCCCACCUUUCUUUAAAGGAAUUAAUUAAUUCCCCCAUGCAAAGCCCAUGGCAAUAAGAAUAUACAACUCCUAUUCUAAGUUCCUCAUGAUUUGUAAAAAAAAUUAUAAAGAUCUUCAUGUUUUUGUUCAGUA